rnacentral:rRNA from 1 species
AACGAACGCUGGCGGCAGGCUUAACACAUGCAAGUCGAGCGCCCCGCAAGGGGGGCGGCAGACGGGUGAGUAACGCGUGGGAAUCUACCUAGCUCUACGGAAUAACCCAGGGAAACUUGGACUAAUACCGUAUACGUCCGAGAGGAGAAAGAUUUAUCGGAGUUAGAUGAGCCCGCGUUGGAUUAGCUAGUUGGUGGGGUAAUGGCCUACCAAGGCGACGAUCCAUAGCUGGUCUGAGAGGAUGAUCAGCCACACUGGGACUGAGACACGGCCCAGACUCCUACGGGAGGCAGCAGUGGGGAAUAAUGGACAAUGGGCGAAAGCCUGAUCCAGCCAUGCCGCGUGAGUGAUGAAGGCCCUAGGGUUGUAAAGCUCUUUCACCGGUGAAGAUAAUGACGGUAACCGGAGAAGAAGCCCCGGCUAACUUCGUGCCAGCAGCCGCGGUAAGAC